rnacentral:rRNA from 1 species
AUGCAAGUCGAACGAGAGGAAGGAAAGCUUGCUUUUCUGAAUCUAGUGGCGAACGGGUGAGUAACACGUAGGUAACCUGCCCAUGUGCCCGGGAUAACUUCUGGAAACGGGUGGUAAUGCCGGAUGCUCCGACUCCUCGCAUGGGGUGUCGGGAAAGAUUUCAUCGGUAUGGGAUGGGGUCGCGUCCUAUCAGGUAGUCGGCGGGGUAACGGCCCACCGAGCCUACGACGGGUAGCCGGCCUGAGAGGGCGACCGGCCACAUUGGGACUGAGAUACGGCCCAGACUCC